rnacentral:rRNA from 1 species
AAUAUUGGACAAUGGGCGAAAGCCUGAUCCAGCCAUGCCGCGUGUGUGAAGAAGGUCUUCGGAUUGUAAAGCACUUUAAGUUGGGAGGAAGAGUUGUAGGCUAAUACCUUGCAAUUCUGACGUUACCAACAGAAUAUGCACCGGCUAACUUCGUGCCAGCAGCUGCGGUAAUACAGAGGGUGCAAGCGUUAAUCGGAAUUACUGGGCGUAAAGCGCGCGUAGGUGGGUCAGUAAGAUGGAAGUGAAAUCCCCGGGCUGAACCUGGGAACGGCUUUCAUAACUGAUGAGCUAGAGUACGGUAGAGGGUAGUGAAAUUUCCUGUGUAGCGGUGAAAUGUGUAGAUAUAGGAAGGAACACCAGUGGCGAAGGCGACUACCUGGACUGAUACUGACACUGAGGUGCGAAAGCGUGGGGAGCAAACAGG